rnacentral:snRNA from 1 species
GUGCUCCCUUCAGCAGUACAUAUAUUAAAAAUUGGAACGGUACGGAGAAGAUUAGCAUGGCCCCUGCAAAAGGAUGACAAGUAAAUUCGUGAAGUGUUCCAUAGUUUA